rnacentral:rRNA from 1 species
CAGCCGCCGCGGGAAUACGUAGGUGGCAAGCGUUGUCCGGAAUUAUUGGGCGUAAAGGGCUCGCAGGCGGUUUCUUAAGUCUGAUGUGAAAGCCCCCGGCUCAACCGGGGAGGGUCAUUGGAAAUUGGGAAACUUGAGUGCAGAAGAGGAGAGUGGAAUUCCACGUGUAGCGGUGAAAUGCGUAGAGAUGUGGAGGAACACCAGUGGCGAAGGCGACUCUCUGGUCUGUAACUGACGCUGAGGAGCGAAAGCGUGGGGAGCGAACAGGAUUAGAUACCCCAGUAGUCCCUGUCUCUUAUAC